CUAGUUUUUUUUAAAUUUUUUCGAUUAUAACCUUAAGACGAGACUCGAGAGAGAGAAAGGAGAAGAUGGCGGAAUUUCACGCAAAGAUGUGGAUGCAUUCGGGGAGUGUUGCAGAAUUAGCUGAAUGAUUUGAAGAUUUCCUCCGUUGGAGGUAGGUUCGCAAUCUCCUCCUUGAAGUUGAAGGAUUCUGGAUUCUUCUCCGGUCAGAGACGAGAGCUCGCUCUCCCUCUCUCCCUCUCUCUCUCUCUCCGUAGAUUACCGGAUCAUCCGCGUUGUUCGUCCGGAUUCCGUCGGGAUUUCCCACGUCGAACGUGUUACGUGCGCUGUGAUCGUCGGAGGAACUGCAGCAUGGUCACGUAACACAUGCCGAUCACGUCUCUGUUCAUGGACACGAUUUAAGCCGAUUUCGGCACGUAUAACUAGCUCUGUGUUGCAAUUCCUGCGUAUUUGCAGGACAUUGCUUUAGGAUUGCUUGGCUUUUCAUCUGCACGCCAAAGAUGUUGCAGUGGAUGGGAGGAUCGAGACGGAAGAUAACGACUGUAAGUGUCGUCCAGGAAGUCAACUCAGAAGAGGUAAAGAACAUCUAUCUACUUGCGCUCUUUUUCCCUCGAACUGAUGCAGCCAGAACUUUGCUACCAAAAGCAUCUGGCAAGCAUUUAUCACGCAAGAGCAACGACCCAUUCUUUCUAAAAUCUUUCUAUUCAUGGAGGCAAAAGCAAUAUUUUGAGCAAAAGAAGAGGCAACAGCAGCAAAAAAAUUUUGGUUCGGACAGCUAUGCUGAGGAAACAAAUGUGGACUGCCAGCAGCAGAAAGAAAAUCGAUCAUUAGAUAUUCUCAGUUUGUUGAAUCUUUCGACUGCCCCACAAGUGUACAAAAGUAGCUGCCCUGAUGGAAGCAGUAUUCCGUGUAUUAAUGAUCCGAAGGUAAAACACCAAUUCAGAAAUUUUCCACCCACUGCAAUUGCCAAUGGAGUAACUCAUGUCAUGCCUACUGAAGUGCACGAAGCAGGUUCUCAAUUUGGCAAUCAAGUGACGGCUCUUCUUCCGAUGAAUGAAGUCGAUAAUCAUGUCUCAAAUAAUCAAAAGAACGAGCUUGGUCAUAAGAUGGGAGUAAUGUAUGAGCCACGUACAUCUGUCCUUGAUUUGAUUGGUGAUGAUCCUUCUGACAGAAAUUUGGAAAUCAGUCCAGCAAAUGAAGAUCACGUCGCCUUUUCCGUAAAUGGCUUAGGUAGAGUGGGAACAGAAACACCAGUUCAUUCACCACAGCAAGUUGACAGAACAUUUUCCUAUGGUUGCACAUCACCCUUAAAACAUUCAGGCUGGUCAGACAUGUUGGAGAACCGAGAUCAUGCAUUGGAUGACCUUGAUUUUGAAGCAGUGAGAUUCUUGAAGUCCAUGAUGAAAUCUUUUAAUGUGCCUGAUCGUCGGCAUUCAUUGAGGAACUCAAUGGGUAUAGAGGAUUGGUAUGGCAAUCUGGAGGCAAACACCUGCGCCUGGGAUAACUCGAAUCAUCACUGGAGGGAUAGUAGCAUAAUGAAAUCAUCUGGUCACAAAGAUGUAUGGGAAGCGAGCUCUAGUUCUCUUAAUAACAACUAUUUUCUCGGGGGAGAUUACGGCAUCUCUUGGGAUAAACGUCCUUUUGAAGUGGAUGACCUAUGUGAUGAUUUCACCACAUAUGAGAAUCAUGAAUUGUCAGAGCAUAAUUUGGAUCAAGUCCGUUUGCUUAAGAAAAGGGUCAUUGCUGAAGCUGGAGUCAGAAGCGAAACUUUAGGUUAGGAUGCAGAUAUUGCUCUGACAUGAAACUUCUGAGAGAAGGCCAAGAUAGACAAGAUUACAUGCAACAAGUAUCUCUUUCUUUUGGUAUCCUGAUGUCUAUUGUUUUCAUGCGAGGAUCAGUGUCUCCCCUGUUAUUUGAACAGCGCGGUUCAGAAGAAGCAUAUUGGUGUAGCACCGUCUUGGAUGAUCCAAGAGAGAGUUCAAGCUUUCAAAGUUCCGGCAGCGAAGAGUCAUGCUCCUCCACUACAGGUUAUCGUUUCUUGUGAUCGCAAUUCUUUCUCCAGCCAAUUUCAGUUGUGAAACUUUUGUAUUGGUAAACAAAGCCAGCUUUGAAGAUGCCUGCUUUAGUACUUCAGAUUAAAAUUUUCGGUA